GUCUACGACCAUACCACCCUGAACGUGCCUGAUCUCAUCUGAUCUCAGAAGUUAAGCAGGGUCAGGCCUGGUUAGUACUUGGAUGGGAGAACAUCUAUUCUAAUAAGAUGGAAAACUAAAAAGAAAUGGACA
rnacentral:rRNA from 1 species